rnacentral:tRNA from 1 species
UCUAAUAUGGCAGAUAAGUGCAAUGGAUUUAAGCUCCAUAAAUAAAGGGAAAACCUUUUAUUAGUA